AUUGGCUUCAGAGAACAGGACUUCCUCAACGCCGUCGAACAGUGCAAGAUGGGGAAAUACCCCGCUUGAUGAAGCCCGGAUGUGUGGAAAUAAGAAUCUGAUCAAGUUGCUUGAAGAUGCAAAAUCUGCUCAACUGUUAGAAUUUCUGUAUUCCUCCCAAGAAUUUACAGAUCCGAUGUUAGAUUGUGUGAAGGGCGUGCCAGACCGAUUGAUAUCCUAACCAAGCAUCUCAAUGGAUCCGCUGAUUUGGAUAUAGAAAUAAAUGAACCAUACAUGGUGUUCAAGGGUUUGACAGUAAAGGAAAUGGAAGAGCUUCGUGAUGACAUCAAAUGCAUCUGGACCUUCACAGGGCCACACCCACCCAUGUAGAAUAUUGGGAGGUUAUUGGAAUGAAUUGGAAGAGAAGUUGAAGUAUCAAGGAGUUGGAACCCAGGAAGGAUAGAAAAAGCACUAGAAGAGGUUACAAAAGGUCGCAGGGCGCUUAGUUGCCCUUUUCUGGGGCCUUCAGCGCCAGCGCAGGGUGCCUGGUUGCCCUUUUUGGGCCCCUCAACGCCACUCUACACCGCAGCACACCUAAGGCGCCCUUCCAGGGACGCUGAGCACCAGUUUCAAUGCACUGUUGAGCGCCAGUUUCAAUGCAUCGUUGAGCGUCUGCUUGCCCUCUACAGAAUAGAAAGGCAUUACCGACGGUCAUAAUCCCUCAAAAACAGUCAAAAGUCGUCGGUAAUGACGUAUUAUCGACGACUUAAAGGACGGUCAGAAAGCCUUCGGUAAUUAUCGAAGGGCAGAAGCCAUCGGUAUUAAUCCUUCGAUAAUUUAUGCUUUUCUUGUAGUGAGUGGUUCAUAGUGCUAGUUCUCUCGUUGUGUUGCCUGCUUGCCCUUAGUUGGGGCGUUGAGCGCCAGUGACUUGGGCUUGUGGGCUAAUUUUGAUCUAUUUAAGGACUUGCACACUCUAGGAUUCACAUCUUUGGAAGGUUAAAGCGCACAACACACUUUUCGACCCUUUGGAGGCAGAAUUGGAUGCGGGAGCUCUCUCUUCGUUUUCUAGGGUUUUUAUUUCACUUUUACUCUAUUGUAUACGAAG